rnacentral:rRNA from 1 species
UACGUAGGGUGCGAGCGUUAAUCGGAAUUACUGGGCGUAAAGCGUGCGCAGGCGGUCUCGCAAGUCCGAUGUGAAAUCCCCGGGCUCAACCUGGGAACUGCAUUCGUGACUGCAAGGCUGGAGUACGGCAGAGGGGGAUGGAAUUCCGCGUGUAGCAGUGAAAUGCGUAGAUAUGCGGAGGAACACCGAUGGCGAAGGCAAUCCCCUGGACCUGUACUGACGCUCAUGCACGAAAGCGUGGGGAGCAAACAGG